UUCGGUUAAGCUACUAAGGGCAUAUGGUGGAUGCCUUGGCACGAGAAGGCGAUGAAGGACGUGGUAAGCUGCGAUAAGCCUCGGGGAGGUGCAAACAACCGUAGAUCCGGGGAUUUCCGAAUGGGGUAACCCAAUCCGAGUAAUGUCGGAUUACCGAUUGCUGAAUCCAUAGGCAAUCGGGGCGAACGAAGGGAACUGAACCAUCUUAGUACCUUCAGGAAAAGAAAGCAAAAGCGAUUCCCUGAGUAGUGGCGAACGAAAGGGGAACAGCCUAAACCAAGCUUAUGUUAAAGCCUAUGCGCGUUGUAAGCUUGGGGUUGCAGGAACCGGUCGGAACCUGGCAUAGCAGGUUCGGGAAGUCACAAAAUAAAUCCUUAGCCGAAUGGUUCUGGAAAGACCAACCAGAGAAGGUGAUAGUCCUGUAGGCGAAAAGGAUUUAUCUUCCUGGACUGGUUUCCUAAGUACCGCGGGACACGGGGAAUCCUGCGGGAAUCUGGGUGGCCCACCAUCCAAGGCUAAAUACUUUCUCGUGACCGAUAGUGCACUAGUACCGUGAGGGAAAGGUGAAAAGCACCCCAGGAGGGGAGUGAAAUAGAACCUGAAACCAUAUGCCUACAAGCAGUGGGAGCUGAGCUGGCUUGUAUUUUCAAGCCAGCGAGGUGACUGCGUGCCUUUUGUUUAAUGAGCUGGCGAGUUGCUCGUGCGUUGCCAGGUUAAUUCUGAGUAAUCAGAAGGAGCCGUAGCGAAAGCGAGUCUGAAAUGGGCGUUGUCCUACUUUAUGUAGGACAGGUAACGUGCGGCAGACGCGAAACCGGGUGAUCUACCUAUGGCCAGGGUGAAGCGACCGUAACAGGUCGUGGAGGCCCGAACCCACUAGGGUUGAAAACCUAGGGGAUGAGCUGUGGGUAGGAGUGAAAGGCUAAUCAAACCCGGAGAUAGCUCGUACUCCCCGAAAUAGCUUUAGGGCUAGCCUCGCCUUAGAGAGUGACGGAGGUAGAGCACUGGAUGAGCUAGGGCCCUCACAAGGGUACCAAACCCAACCAAACUCCGAAUGCCGUACACUUGUUAGGCGGGAGUCAGGCAGCGGGGGAUAAGCUCCGUUGCCGAGAGGGAAACAACCCAGACCGUCAGCUAAGGUCCCCAAGUGUAAGCUAAGUGCGAAAGGAUGUAAGAUUGCUUAGACAACCAGGAGGUUGGCUUAGAAGCAGCCAUCCUUUAAAGAGUGCGUAAUUGCUCACUGGUCAAGCGGUCUUGCGCCGACAAUUCAACGGGACUAAAGCUUACCACCGAAGCUACGGUUCAGACCUUGAGGGAUCAAGGUCUGAAGGUAGGGGAGCAUUCCAUUAACCUGCGAAGUUUCGACGCGAGUCGAGAUGGAGGAGAUGGAAGAGAGUAUGCCAGCAUGAGUAGCGAUAAUCCCGGUGGGAAUCCGGGACACCGAAAGCCUAAGGUUUCCUGAGUAAAGUUCGUCUGCUCAGGGUUAGUCGGCCCCUAAGUCGAGACCGAAAGGUGUAGACGAUGGGAAACGGGUUUAAUAUUCCCGUACCACCUGCAAAUCGUUUGGUUCCGUCUUUGACGGGCCAGUAGCCAUGGGGUGACGCAGGGGUGAAAGGUCAGGCCCGUGUUGGAAUACGGGCUCUAAGCUGGUAGGAGGUUCCGAUAGGCAAAUCCGUCGGAACAUACUCCGAGAAGCGAAUGGGAGGGCUUAGCCCACAAACUGACCCUAAUCGUACUGCCAAGAAAAACCUCGGGUGGCGAGAUUUGUAGGUGACCGUACCGUAAACGGACACACGUAGGCGGGGAGAAAAUCCUAAGGUGCGCGAGAUAGCCCUGGUUAAGGAACUAGGCAAAAUGGCCCCGUAACUUCGGGAGAAGGGGUGCCUCCGGUAGGUGAAUCUCCUACCCUACCAUUAGGUGGGGAUUAGCGAGAGGAGCUGAAAGAGGCCGCAGUGAAAAGGCUUGGGCGACUGUUUAAUAAAAACACAGGUCUCUGCUAAGUCGUAAGAUGACGUAUAGGGACUGACACCUGCCCGGUGCCGGAAGGUUAAGGGGAGGGGUUAUCCCGAGCUUUCGGGAGAAGCUCUGAACCGAAGCCCCGGUAAACGGCGGCCGUAACUAUAACGGUCCUAAGGUAGCGAAAUUCCUUGUCGGGUAAGUUCCGACCUGCACGAAUG
rnacentral:rRNA from 1 species